UCCUCGUUAGUAUAGUGGUGAGUAUCCCCGCCUGUCACGCGGGAGAACGGGGUUCGAUUCCCCGACGGGGAG
rfam:Ciona savignyi cont_31436, whole genome shotgun sequence.